rnacentral:rRNA from 1 species
UACGUAGGCAGCAAGCGUUGUUCGGAGUUACUGGGCGUAAAGGGUGCGUAGGCGGUCCUAUAAGUAUGGUGUGAAAUCUCCCGGCUUAACUGGGAGGGUGCGCUAUAGACUGUGGGACUAGAGUGUGGGAGAGGAAAGUGGAAUUCCUGGUGUAGCGGUGAAAUGCGUAGAUAUCAGGAGGAACACCGGUGGUGUAAACGGCUUUCUGGACCAUAACUGACGCCGAGGCACGAAAGCGUGGGUAGCAAACAGG